rnacentral:rRNA from 1 species
AUUGAACGCUGGCGGCAGGCCUAACACAUGCAAGUCGAGCGGUAGAGAGAAGCUUGCUUCUCUUGAGAGCGGCGGACGGGUGAGUAAUGCCUAGGAAUCUGCCUGGUAGUGGGGGAUAACGUUCGGAAACGGACGCUAAUACCGCAUACGUCCUACGGGAGAAAGCAGGGGACCUUCGGGCCUUGCGCUAUCAGAUGAGCCUAGGUCGGAUUAGCUAGUUGGUGGGGUAAUGGCUCACCAAGGCGACGAUCCGUAACUGGUCUGAGAGGAUGAUCAGUCACACUGGAACUGGGACGCGGUCCAGACUCCUGCGGGAGGCAGCAGUGGGGAAUAUUGGACAAUGGGCGAAAGCCUGAUCCAGCCAUGCCGCGUGUGUGAAGAAGGUCUUCGGAUUGUAAAGCACUUUAAGUUGGGAGGAAGGGCAGUAGAUUGACACGUUGCUGUUUUGACGUUACCGACAGAAUAAGCACCGGCUAACUCUGUG